rnacentral:miRNA from 1 species
AGCAGGCCUGUCAGGGCAUCG